GACGAACGCUGGCGGCGUGCUUAACACAUGCAAGUCGAACGGUGAAGGGGUCUGCUUUUGUGGGCCCUGGAUGAGUGGCGAACGGGUGAGUAACACGUGAGUAACCUGCCCCCUUCUUCUGGAUAACCGCAUGAAAGUGUGGCUAAUACGGGAUAUUCUGGGUCUGUCGCAUGAUGGGGUCUGGGAAAGAUUGCGCCUUUGGGUGUUUUUGGUGGGGGAUGGGCUCGCGGCCUAUCAGCUUGUUGGUGGGGGGAUGGCCUACCAAGGCGGUGACGGGUAGCCGGCCUGAGAGGGUGGACGGUCACACUGGGACUGAGACACGGCCCAGACUCCUACGGGAGGCAGCAGUGGGGAAUAUUGCACAAUGGGCGCAAGCCUGAUGCAGCGACGCCGCGUGAGGGAUGGAGGCCUUCGGGUUGUAAACCUCUUUCGCCAGUGAAGCAGGCCUGCUCCUUGUGGGUGGGUUGACGGUAGCUGGAUAAGAAGCGCCGGCUAACUACGUG
rnacentral:rRNA from 1 species